rnacentral:rRNA from 1 species
UACGUAGGGGGCGAGCGUUGUCCGGAAUCAUUGGGCGUAAAGCGCGUGUAGGCGGCCCGGUAAGUCCGCUGUGAAAGUCCAGGGCUCAACCCUGGGAUGCCGGUGGAUACUGUCGGGCUCGAGUCCGGAAGAGGCGAGUGGAAUUCCUGGUGUAGCGGUGAAAUGCGCAGAUAUCAGGAGGAACACCUACGGCGAAGGCAGCUCGCUGGGACGGUACUGACGCUGAGACGCGAAAGCGUGGGGAGCAAACAGG